rnacentral:tRNA from 2 species
AGGGGCUUAGCUCAGCUGGUUAGAGCGACGGUCUCCAAAACCGUAGGUCGAGAGUUCGAAUCCCUCAGCCCCUGCCA